GUGGCGUUGUUGUAGCCCCACAAAGAUUCCUGUGAAUACGGGAGAAAAGCAGGAGUUCGAAUCUCCUAUGCUCCACCA
rnacentral:tRNA from 1 species